AUCCAUUGAAGCAGAUGAGAGGAGAUGCUUUUGGAUGGAGGAGACGUCGCUCUCAACAAACAAUCAUCUGACAUUGAAUCGAGUGAAGUCUGGGAGCCA